rnacentral:miRNA from 1 species
GGUAGGGGGCGGCGGUGGGU